rnacentral:rRNA from 1 species
AGCAGCCGCCACGGUAAUACGGAGGGUGCAAGCGUUAAUCGGAAUUACUGGGCGUAAAGCGCACGCAGGCGGUCUGUCAAGUCAGAUGUGAAAUCCCCGGGCUUAACCUGGGAACUGCAUUUGAAACUGUCAGGCUGGAGUCUUGUAGAGGGGGGUGGAAUUCCAGGUGUAGCGGUGAAAUGCGUAGAGAUCUGGAGGAAUACCGGUGGCGAAGGCGGCCCCCUGGACAAAGACUGACGCUCAGGUGCGAAAGCGUGGGGAGCAAACAGGAUUAGAUACCCGCGUAGUCCCUGUCUCUUAUAC